CAAAAGGCCAAGUAUUGAAACAAAAAUACUGAAAACAGUCCAAACCCGCCUGCACUUAAAGAUUAUUUGCAUACAGGUACUGGGAGGAAACUUCUUUGUUUUACAGGCAACAGAUGGGUAGGAAAGGAAGAGCACAAAACAGAAAGUCAACUCUACAAUCCUAGAAAACUGUGUUGAUGAGGGAAUCUCUCAGAUGAGGGUAUGCAAAAUAGAAGUGACAAGUAUGAGCUGGGGCUUGCUCACUCUGACAUAAGUCAGGAGUAGGUGUCCAGGCCAAUUUGUUGAAUAUAUCUUACACAGCAAGAGGGCUUGCUUUCAGAUGGUUUCCACAAAGCAAAAAGUUUGAGGAAAAGAGCUACAGAAUGGUAUCUAUUGUUUGAAAGCUGUAAAAGGUGGGAAAUUAUCCUUCAUUUGCCUAAGAAAAUGCUGUGUUACCAGAACCUAAUUCAUUUUUCAGUAAGAUGGAGGCACCUUUGUUUUGAGUCAAUGUAUUCAUUAUGUCCAUAAAGUGCAGAACUUCUGUAACAGCCAAACACUUAAAGCGCUGCUGCCAUUUACUCAGGUUCACUUAACGUACUACUGAGUUAUUGUUUCUUCUUUUAAUUUGCGUGGUUCCUGUCUUGCCAAACUCUUUUGCAUACACAAGCAGUGGUGCAUAUGUAUGAAUAUAUUUGCAAAGACCUGUAGACCGCACACUUGAAAUAGCUUAGCAUUUGUUUGCUUCCUCUUCCAUUAAAGCCAAUGAUGAAUCCUUUCAAAAAUAUCCACCCACCAGUUCAGUGUGUUUUGCAUUUUUCUAAUUGGCAAGUCAAUAACAGAGAAAAACAACCUUCUGCUGCAUUCAUCUAGUGCAGUCUACUACUCUGUCAAACCAAAUGGCUGAAGCCUCUGCUCCGUUGUUUGAGGUUCCAGGUUCAGCUGCCAGCAAAUUACUUAUUAUGAGGCUCAUUAGUUACAAGAUUAUUUUUCUGAGAUGAAGACAAAGUAAAAUAUAUCUGUUCAAACUCAUUAACUCAAUUAGAUUUUUAGAGAAUUGUACUUUGGCAGAUGAGCUGUGAAAAAAAAUAAUAGUGUUUUCAGAAGCUGGGCCACUUGCUUUUAGAAGAGCCAGAGACCUCUGAAAAUACUACACCAGAAACCUCCAGAGGGAAGUCAACCGUGCAGAAAACCAUGGGCAGGCACAUUAUCUUCAAAACUCAAGAGACCAACUCAGUGGCAACUUCUUUUCCAACAGAUCAUAUGGAACAUUUUGUAUAUUGCAACCAACUGUAGUGGGAUGUUUCUCACUUUCAUAGAAAUCUGCCUAAAUUUCUCAAUAAUAUAUUGCAUCUGUUCAUUGAGGAACUUUCUGUAAGAGUAGUUUCAUAGCAAAAAUAUUUGUACAAAACCAGAACAAUCAACUACUAGGAUAACCUUAUAAUGUACAAAUGGUGAUUAUCACCUCCCCAACACUCUUCUGUCUUUCAUCUUUCACUGUUUCUCUCUGCAGUUGCUUAUGUACAAUAUUUUAUUUAGUCUAGACACUGUUAAGACAACAUGAUUCCCCUUCAGAAGGUCAUACAAGUACAUAAGCUGGUGCCUCAAGCUGGUGCCUCAAGCUGCAGUUUUGAAUUCUACCUCUGUUACAGAUUGGCUAUGGUACACAGUACUAGAGUACUUUGUUCAGAAUAGGAUUGUCAAAAUUGUAGUAAUAAUGACCUUAACAAGGUCUGCUUUACUUCAGAACCUGAGAAAAUGGUAUGCAUAAUAAAAACCACUGUAGAAAUAUAAGUCAUACAAUACAUUAUUUCUAUCAUAUCUGUACAAAUCCUUUCUGCUGUGCCCCUUUCUAAAUAAUACAUGUUUAUCUUCAUUGAUGGCAUAUCAAGGGACACUUUUAUCAAUGGUCAGUUUUAAAUAAAGUCACAAUCUAACUGUAUUUUAAGAAAGGCUUAAAUUUAAAAAUGCCUAUAUAAGCAUUGAUGUGAUGUUAUCCAUCUUGUUUGCAGGUGAAAAGUGCAAACCUUAUAGGUAGACGUAUGAAAUUAGAAGUACUCAUUUCUAUCAGGAAACUUACUUAUAGAAUUAAUGCAAGUGGGCAUGUUGAUACCACUGUAGGAUACUGAAAAGUACUAAAGCAGACACAUUUUUAAGGAUAGGUUGACAUAGAAGGGAAAAUACUAAGUGGUCACUUUUUUCUUCAGUUCUUGGUUACCCUUGAUGUACAAGUUUGACAGCAUAUUCUUCACUUCCUCUGUAACUGUUGUGCAACAUAAACAUGCCAAACUGUGAGCCCAUAUGAUUGUCAUUUUUGACCUUUUCCUCCUCCCUUUUGAUAUUCUUCAUUCCCACGAUAUCAUCAAUAUCCAAAGGAAUGAAGCAGAAACCCACAGUCUACAUAUCCCUGUAUUCACAGCUUGGCACUUCAGCAUCUGUCUUCCACAGCACUAGCAGAUGGAUUCAUUUACCAAAAUCGUUGUUGGUUUCAGUUCUCAACCAGUCUGUCAAAACAUACUCAGCUUUCUGGAAAGGGAGGCCUGCAUAAUUUAUUUUGUUCGUGUAACAUGGAAGAAAGGGCACUUAGCAUUCUAUCACAAAAAUUUGAAUGUUUUUCCUAGUAACGUGAGAUACCAUAUAGCUCCACCCCUUGUCCUGUUUAUUUGUGGAUUAGGAGUUAGAGAGAAAAAUGUUCACAGUUACUCUCUCAAAAUCACGCAUAACUAUUCACAGAAUCAUAGAAUCAUUAAGGCUGUAAGAGAUCUCCAAGAUCACCUAGUUCAACAGUCAACCCAUCACCCUCAUGCCCAUUAAACCAUGCCCCUCAGCUCUAUAUCUAUGUAUUUUCUGAACACUCCCAGGGACAGUAACUGGGCAACCUUUUCGAGCCUAUCACCACAACCUGAUACAAAAUUUUUUCCUAAUACCCAACCUGAACCUUCCCUUGUGCAACUUAAGGCAUAAUUAAAUUAAAUUAAUUAAGAUAAAUAAUUACUUCUCAUUCUAUUGCUGUUAUCUGUGAGAAGAGGUUGACAUCCACCUCACCACAACCUCCUUUCAGACAGCUGCAGAGAGCAAUAAGGUCUCCCCUGAGCCUCCAUAUCUCCAGACUUAACAAUCUCAGUUCCCUCAGCUAGUCCUCAUAAAACUUAUACUCCAGACUUCUCACCAACUUUGGUGCCCUUUUAUGGACAAACUCCAGGGCCUCAGUGUUUUUCAUGUAGUGAGAGGCCCAAAACUGAACACAGUACUUAAGGUGCAGCCUCACCAGUGCCAAGUAGAGAGAGAUGAUCACCCCUCUGGUCCUGCUGACUACAUUAUUUUUGAUACAAGCCAGGAUGCCGUUGGCCUUCUUUAACACUUGGGCACACUGCUGGCUGAUGUUCAGCUGGCUGUCUUCCACUGAUUGCAAGAGACUUACAUGCACUGAAAAUUAGAUGAGGUUACAAAGGAGGAGUACAGAAUCACAGCAGAGACAUACACGGGUAAAUUUAGACAAGUCAUGACAGAAGUCACUACUACCAAGGAACACUAAAAGAUACAAGAAAUUUUCUACAUGUUUGUUAGUAUUAUGUGGAAGACCUAGGAACAGAUUACCCUUUCUUUCCAAGGACAGAAAUCAAAAUACACAUUGCUUCAUGAGUUUUAAUGUCUAUUUUGCUGUCAUAGAUAAUUGCUAUGAGGCAGCUAUCAUUAAACCAAUGAUAAAAGGGUAGUAACUCAAACUCAAAUAUGCAAAGGAACUAUUUAGAUAAUAAUUAGAUAUGUUAGAAGUUUUAUCAGUUGUGCUUGAGAAAAAAAUGACAGAAAGAUAAACUAUGGAGAUUUCUAAAGUAUUACUAUGGAAAUUACAUGUUGAAACCACUGAAGAGUGAGUGAGCUCUCAAAACCCUGGAAAAUUGCACGUUCCAUUGGUUUGGGCUUUUUAAACUGAAAAAAAAAAAAAAAUGGAGGAGGAUAGAUAUUUAUAGAAUAGUCAGCUUAAUUUUGACUCCCAGAAAAUUUAUCUGAGCCAAGCUAAAAACUCAUGAAUAUGUAGAUGAUAACAAGCACAGAGUUAAUGGUCAAUGUGGUUUUGGAAAGAGCAAAUCACAUUCAGGGAAUUUAAUUUUCUUUCCAAAAUAAAACAAAACAAAAAGGGGCAGGGAGUUCCUUAUUCCUAUAAGGAACCAUUAGAGGUUACUCCUGUAAAAAUAAGUGACAUCUUUAGCAUGGAUUGAGUCACUGAAUGCACACAGACCAAUGCAGCAACUUUGCAGGACCAGAAUGCUUGACAGUAUGUUUAGCAAAGUGGCAAAUUCAGCUUCUGCUGCAACCACUAAUAUGGAUGGACAAGUGGAGAGAGUUUGAAGGCAUCUUCCCUCCGCAACAGGAAAACUCAACAGUAACAGAACUGUCAAGGGAAACCAAGAGAAACCAAGAUAUUUCUAACUAAAAGCAUGGUUUAAUUCUAUAAUUAGAUAAGAUUUGAUCCAUAGAAAAAUCACACAUGAUCAAAGUCCAUAGAAUUAUACUAGUAUGAAAAUAAUAAAUGUCCAAUGAAAAUCAAGUCUAAACCAAACUGUAGCCAAAACAGAGAUAUGUGAAACCUAUGGAUUCAAAAUGUAGUAAUUAGAAUAUACUUCAACUGCAUUAUUAAAGAGUGUAGUGCUCGUGAAUGACAUUUAAAGCAGAAUAUGUUUCCAUAUUGAGUAUUCUCCGUUUCUAUCUGUGGUUUUGUAUCUGAUUUUUUGCACAUUCCUCAUCACCUUGUUUGCUGUGGCCCAUAAUGUAGAACAAAGUUUUGUGCCUCUUCACAAAUACACAAGAAAACAUCAAAUUCGCUUCCAUCUCCAGCUGAACUAUCAGUUCCAGUCUGUGGUCAUCAUUACCCUCAGAAGCUGUGACUGACAGACUAGGUUGAUGUUUCACAGAAAAGCUAUAGUGAAAACAGGCAGCUUGAUGUACAGGGUGGGAACUCUCUAUGUGGCAAUUUCUUAGAUGGUCAGAUCUGCACAUUCUCCCUGAAGAUAGCCAGCUGGAGUUAAAAAAAAUAAUAAAUCCAAGAAUCUACUUCACGUACAACUCCUGGCUCAUCAAAGGCAAUACCUCCUGUCAGACUACCACACUUUCUCUCAUUAGCUUGCCACUGACUGAGAAGCUCAGCAACAAUAUACAAUCUGUACCUACUGCUUCUGUUUAUUUUCCUUUUGUUUGAACAAUGAGAGGAUAUACAUUACACCAAGACUUGAUUUUGUAGCACUGCUAAAUCACACUUGAGGGAACAAUGAAAACAGUGCCUGUUUAAUAAAUAUAUGUUGAUAUUUCAUAUCUAAUUGCUUCCAAUGGGAUCCUAAAUGUAUCCCAUGAAAGAGAGGGAAUAUAUAAGUCACAAAAGCUAGAGAACAUCUGACUGAUGUAUAUAACUCUCAUGUGUCAUGGUUAAACCUCUGGAGCAACAGUUCUUCCUGUCACUUUGCUACUGUCCUGGCUUCAGCUGGGACAGAGUUGAUUUUGUUCGUACUGUGUGAUAUGAUGCUAUGUUUUGACUUCAGGAGAAAAACAAUGUUGAUAUCACAUUGAUGUUUUAGUUGCUAAGCAGUGCUGUACAGAGCCAAGGAUAUUUCAGUUUCUCAGCUUCUGAGCUUCUCCUGUUGUAUUGCCCAUGAGAAGGCUGGGGGGGGGGGGGGGGGGGG
ensembl:lncRNA